CAGAGAAUAGUUUAUUAUAAAAUAUUAAUUUUGGAGAUUAAUGAUAAAAGUUCUUUUUUUUCUCUGA
rnacentral:tRNA from 1 species